CAGGCUGGAGUGCAGUGGCACCAUCUCAGCUCCCCAAAGCCUCAGUCUCCCAGGCUCAAACCAUCCUCCCACCUCCCAGCCUCCUGAGUAGCCGGGACCACAGGUGCACACCACCAUGCCCGGCUCAUUUUAAACUUUCUUGUAGAGAUGCACUCUCACCAUGUUGCCCAGGCUGGUGGCUGAGGGCAGUUCCUACCUGUCUCUUCUUUAUGGAGGCGAUUCCACAGCAUUUGAAGAGAAAAUUCUCGUGACACAGAGGAAAUUGUCCCUUCAUCGAACACAGAGAGACCUUCCAGUGGCAGCUCCAGGAGAUGUCUGUCUGCGAUCAGGACUAUCUUAUCGGCAACCUCGGGCUGGACUGUGUCUGGGAAACAGCAGUGCAGGGAGAUCAGCUCCUGAAGACGGGACCCCUCCCACGGGGUCGCGGGGCUCCGUCUUCUGACUUGGCUGCUGGGCGCUGGGAAAGGCUGGCAGCCCGCCUUGACUCCAUGCCACCUCCUCCUCCAGAUGCCCCAGAACGGGGCGAGGAACAGCCUCCCAUCGCGCCUGUCCCUCCACACGAUUCUUUUUGUUAGCAAGCACGUGUGGUGUGGCGGGGCUGACAAUCCACCCACGCGAAGGUGGCUGUGCGGAGUUCCGUGGUGCUCUCAGGAGGCUUGGCACAGAGCCUCCUACCCAGAGGGCUGGUCCAGGGCUGUGCGGAGAACCUUCCGGGGACCUCAGGUGCAGGGAGGCCUCAGGGGAAGGAGCAGCAGGGCUUGUGGGACUCCUGGGUUCCUGACCCCCCUUGGCGUUCCCGGAUGGGUGGGUGGAUCCCAACCCCACCUCUUCUGGCGGGAUGAGCUCCCCAGGCUGAGUGGCCGCGCCCGCCCCACUCACUGUGUUGUCCUGUGGACGUUUUCCUCUCCUUGUCUUUGCCCUUCGACUUCCCUGAAUCGGC
rnacentral:lncRNA from 1 species